AUUUUUAUUAAAAUUGCAUUUUGCAUUCAGCGUGGAAAAUCAGCUUUGUGUGCCUUUGUUCCAAACUUACAAGUCCAGUCCAGUUUUUGUGUGCAGCAUUUUCGUUCGGUGGUGGAAAAUCGUUUUGCGAAGCUUAAUAUUUGCAAGUAAGUACUGUAUUUUACAAAUAAAAAUGAAGAGGAGUACUUUUUAUAAUAAGCUUACUGCAUCUUGUGAAUAUCCUAAAUACAUAGAUUUUAAUGGACUAAGUUCAAAUAAAUGUAAUAAAAGAAAGAAGUACAAUUAAAAAUCCUAAAUGUGUUUUAUUAAGACUAUAACAAACAGUCACAUGGGAGUAGAAAUGGUGGUGAAAUGCGGUCCUUAUAACCGUAAAAUGACGGUCAUAAAGCCUGUAAAAUGACGAUCAAUAAGCCUGAAAAAUGACGGUCGUUAUAACCGUAUAAAGGCGAUCAUUUCAACCGUAAAAUGAUGGUCAUUGUGCCCGUAAAAUGACGGUCAUUAUGCCUGUAAAACGACGGUCAUUAUGCCCGUAAAAUGGCGGUCAUAAAACCAGUAAAUCCCUUAAGAAAACAUUUGGUCAUUUGACUAGUAAAAACCAGAGUAGCUGUGACGGGUGUAAGCAGUGCAGCUAUACAUUUAGCUAAGCGCACAAGACAUGAGGGAGAGCGAGAUGUAAAGUCACACGUACGGGAACAUAAAGAAAGAAACGGUCACAAAAUCUACCGAUGCCCUCAAGAAUGUGAUGGGAAAAAUACGGAAAGUUUCAGUCAUGGCUCCAGGUAAUUUUACUAAUCAUUUGACCAGUAUCUUUCUUGCAGGGAU